AUUGAACGCUGGCGGCAGGCCUAACACAUGCAAGUCGAACGGUAACAGGAAGAAGCUUGCUUCUUUGCUGACGAGUGGCGGACGGGUGAGUAAUGUCUGGGAAACUGCCUGAUGGAGGGGGAUAACUACUGGAAACGGUAGCUAAUACCGCAUAAUGUCGCAAGACCAAAGAGGGGGACCUUCGGGCCUCUUGCCAUCGGAUGUGCCCAGAUGGGAUUAGCUAGUAGGUGGGGUAACGGCUCACCUAGGCGACGAUCCCUAGCUGGUCUGAGAGGAUGACCAGCCACACAGGAACUGAGACACGGUCCAGACUCCUACGGGAGGCAGCAGUGGGGAAUAUUGCACAAUGGGCGCAAGCCUGAUGCAGCUAUGCCGCGUGUAUGAAGAAGGCCUUCGGGUUGUAAAGUACUUUCAGCGGGGAGGAAGGGAGUAAAGUUAAUACCUUUGCUCAUUGACGUUACCCGCAGAAGAAGCACCGGCUAACUCCGUG
rnacentral:rRNA from 1 species